UGCAUACAUAAUAAAUAAGCAAAGUCUUU
rnacentral:piRNA from 1 species